GGCGGACGGGUGAGUAACGCGUAGGAAUCUACCUAAUGGUGGGGGAUAGCCCAGGGAAACUUGGAUUAAUUCCGCAUAAGUCCUAAGGGAGAAAGCGGGGGAUCUUCGGACCUCGUGCCAUUAGAUGAGCCUGCGUAAGAUUAGCUAGUUGGUGAGGUAAGAGCUCACCAAGGCGACGAUCUUUAGCUGGUCUGAGAGGAUGAUCAGCCACACUGGGACUGAGACACGGCCCAGACUCCUACGGGAGGCAGCAGUGGGGAAUAUUGGACAAUGGGGGCAACCCUGAUCCAGCCAUGCCGCGUGUGUGAAGAAGGCCUUCGGGUUGUAAAGCACUUUCAGCAGUGAGGAAAGGUUACAGAUUAAUACUCUGUAGCUGUGACGUUAACUGCAGAAGAAGGACCGGCUAACUCCGUGCCAGCAGCCGCGGUAAUACGGAGGGUCCGAGCGUUAAUCGGAAUUACUGGGCGUAAAGCGCGC
rnacentral:rRNA from 1 species